rnacentral:rRNA from 1 species
GUAGUUUGAUCUUGGCUCAGGACGAACGCUGGCGGCGUGCUUGACACAUGCAAGUCGAACGGGGUGCCUAUGAAAGAGAUUUCGGUCAAUGGAUUAGGUUACUUAGUGGCGGACGGGUGAGUAACGCGUGAGGAACCUGCCUUUCAGAGGGGGACAACAGCUGGAAACGGCUGCUAAUACCGCAUGACACAUAUUUAUCGCAUGGUAGAUAUGUCAAAGAUUUAUCGCUGAGAGAUGGCCUCGCGUCUGAUUAGCUAGUUGGUAGGGUAACGGCCUACCAAGGCGACGAUCAGUAGCCGGACUGAGAGGUUGGCCGGCCAUAUUGGGACUGAGAUACGGCCCAGACCCCUACGGGAGGCAGCAGUGGGGAAUAUUGGGCAAUGGGCGCAAGCCUGACCCAGCAACGCCGCGUGAAGGAAGAAGGCCUUUCGGGUUGUAAACUUCUUUUAAGAGGGAAGAGCAGAAGACGGUACUCUUGAAUAAGCACGGCUAACUACGUGCCAGCAGCCGG